rnacentral:rRNA from 1 species
CCUACGGGAGGCAGCAGUGGGGGAUAUUGCACAAUGGGGGAAACCCGGAUGCAGCGACGCCGCGUGAGUGAAGAAGUAUUUCGGGAUGUAAAGCUCUAUCAGCAGGGAAGAAAAAAGACGGUACCUGCCUAAGAAGCCCCGGCGAACAACGUGCAAGCAGCCGCGGUAAUACGGAGGGGGCAAGAGUUAUCCGGAUUUACUGGGUGUAGAGGGCGCGUAGGCGGCAAUACUAUUCGGAAGGGAACUACCCGGGAUCAAACUGGUAACUGCUUUGGAAACUGUAUGGCUAGAGUGCUAGAGGGGUAAGCGGAAUUCCUGGUGUAGCGGUGAAAUGCGUAGAUAUUAGGCGGAACACCAGUGGCGAAGGCGGCUUACUGAACAGUAACUGACGUUGAGGCUCGAAAGCGUGGGGAGCAAACAGGAUUAGAUACCCUUGUAGUC